rnacentral:rRNA from 1 species
AGAGUUUGAUCAUGGCUCAGAUUGAACGCUGGCGGCAUGCCUUACACAUGCAAGUCGAACGGCAGCACGGGAGCAAUCCUGGUGGCGAGUGGCGAACGGGUGAGUAAUAUAUCGGAACGUGCCCAGUCGUGGGGGAUAACGUAGCGAAAGCUACGCUAAUACCGCAUACGAUCUACGGAUGAAAGCGGGGGAUCGCAAGACCUCGCGCGAUUGGAGCGGCCGAUAUCAGAUUAGCUAGUUGGUGGGGUAAAAGCUCACCAAGGCGACGAUCUGUAGCUGGUCUGAGAGGACGACCAGCCACACUGGAACUGAGACACGGUCCAGACUCCUACGGGAGGCAGCAGUGGGGAAUUUUGGACAAUGGGGGCAACCCUGAUCCAGCAAUGCCGCGUGUGUGACGAAGGCCUUCGGGUUGUAAAGCACUUUUGGCGGGAACGAAACGGCGCUUUCUAAUACAGAGCGCUAAUGACGGUACCCGCAGAAUAAGCACCGGCUAACUCCGUGCCAGCAGCCGCGGUAA